GGAGAGAUGGCUCAUCAGUUAAGAGCAUUGGAUGCUCUUCCAGAGGACCUGGGUUCAAUUCCCAGCACCUACA
rfam:Cricetulus griseus cell line CHO-K1, whole genome shotgun sequence.